UACUUUUGUUCUAAGUCAAACUUGUCUCACUUUGACCAAGUUUAUAGACCAAAUGUAUAAACAUCUACAAUAUCAAAUAAACGCACUAUCAAAAUAUACUUCAUGGUGUCUCUGGUAAAUCUUAUUUGAUGUUGUAGAUGUUUGUGUAUUUUCUAUAAACUUGAUCAAAGCUUGAGAAGUUUGACUUUGGGCAAAGCUAA
rnacentral:pre_miRNA from 1 species